UACGGAGGGUGCGAGCGUUGUCCGGAAUCAUUGGGCGUAAAGGGCGCGUAGGUGGCCCGGUCAGUCAGUGGUGAAAGCGCGGGGCUCAACUCCGCGUCGGCCAUUGAUACUGCUGGGCUUGAGCACUGUAGAGGCAGGCGGAAUUCCGGGUGUAGCGGUGGAAUGCGUAGAGAUCCGGAAGAACACCGGUGGCGAAGGCGGUUCUCUGGGCAUUACCUGACGCUGAGGAGCGAAAGUGUGGGGAGCGAACAGG
rnacentral:rRNA from 1 species